UACCCCCGUGGAACUCUGAAUUUCUCUCGCCUUUUGUCCCUCUCUGCACAGGUGCCAGUCAACUUCCAAAGCUGGUUCUUAACCCAGGAUUCCAAGCUGCAGAGAAAUUUGCCCAGAAAGCCUCAAAAAUGUUUCUCUGCAGCCCUCACCACUGCCCGCCAUGAACACUGCACAUCAUCCACCUCUCAUCCUCCCCCUUCCUGUCUCAAGGGCUCAGGGAAGGCCCCUCAGGCUUCCAGAAUGUUCUGUAAGAUGUGAACUCUCUGGGCAGGAUGCGUGCAGCUCACUGGAGACAAGCGGUGACGUCCUGGACAAGCAUCAUGCACCAUCAGGUGGCUCCUGCAGGAGAGCCUCCAGCCCUUCAGUCUGGACGAGCAGUCAGCUGAGACCGCGUGAAGUUCCAGGACCGCGACCGUUACCUCGGUGAUCCCGUGGGAGCCUUGCAGCCACGAACGCCAUACAAAGGUGCGUCCUGCUCAGCAGUAGUCAGAGGCCCAUCGUCUUGCGCUGUGACACCCCAGGGACCCAGGGAACAGACAGGAAGCGGUGCUGGGGGCGCAGGAAGGGUCCGAGGAGGAUAUCGAAGCAGCAGGAAGUGACAGCCAGCAGGCAGGAAGAGGAAGGGGAAGAUGAAAAGACAGAGGCAGCCUGGCUUCCCCGGGCACUCGCCAAAGACUGCACUGAG
rnacentral:lncRNA from 9 species